UACGUAGGGUGCAAGCGUUGUCCGGAAUUAUUGGGCGUAAAGAGCUCGUAGGCGGUUUGUCGCGUCUGCCGUGAAAGUCCGGGGCUCAACUCCGGAUCUGCGGUGGGUACGGGCAGACUGGAGUACUGCAGGGGAGACUGGAAUUCCUGGUGUAGCGGUGGAAUGCGCAGAUAUCAGGAGGAACACCUAUGGCGAAGGCAGCUCUCUGGUACGUGACUGACGCUGAGACGCGAAAGCGUGGGGAGCAAACAGG
rnacentral:rRNA from 1 species